CGGAGCCGUUCCAGCCGCAACCAAAUCUCUUCCAUGAUCAACGCUUCCAGCAUCCCGUGAGAUUAGGCGUGAGCCCAAGCAUCUAGCCGUCCCCCUCUUCCGGAUUCGCAUCCGCCCACCAGCGCGCUCCCAGGGGAUCCAUCACCAGGUGAGAGUUGGCUAUAUAAAGAGGGCCAUCGGCAGGGGCUAAGGGGGGAGGGUGGAGUGCUCGGCUGGUCCAAAGAGGGGAGGAGAUCUGAAAGAAAAAGGAAAACAGAGCCAUGCUCUGUUUUUGACAGAAAGAGAAAUAUUAAAAAAAAAGCCCACCGAGCGUGCCAUAGGAGGAGUUUUCUGAUUUUUUUUCUUUCUUCCUUUGUUUUUAUGUUUUAUUUUGUAGAAGGAGGAAGCAUUAGGCUUCCAAUCUUCACUUUAUUUUUAUACUUAUCCUUUU
rnacentral:lncRNA from 1 species